UUUUGAAAAUCGAAGAAAGCGUAGAUCGUUUGGCUAAGUUUAUUAUACGGAUAAAUUCCAACAAAUUGAUAUUUUGCAUGUCAUAAUGUAUCAGCAACAAGUUCGUCCAUCAUCUCAGAGUGGUCAGUCAGCAAAUAAUUCUUUUUCGUAUCCAAAUUUUUCAUAUCAUCUUGCAGAUCAUAAAUCAAAUAAACAAAAUUAUUCCAAUUUCGGUAAAGGAACAGGACAAAAGUUUGUAACUUCAACUGCUAAUUCUCCUCCUCCUCCUCCCCCUCCUCCACCUCCACCUCCUCCUCCUCCAUCUCUUAUUGGUAACACUAAAUAUAUAAAUAUGAUGUCAAAUUCAUCUGUUGAAAAAAAAACCAAUAAUAAUAAUUCAGCCUUGACAGAACCAAGUAAUGAUAAUCAGUUCCAACAAAAUUCUUUCAAAAAUGAAAUGUCUAGAGGUCUACCACCUGGCUUUUCAAAAGCAGAGGCUGAACAAAAAAAUUCACGAAAUACUGAAGAAGAUCCUGUAACUAAAGCCAUGGUUAAUAAUUUGAUGGGAAAUGUACCCAAUAAAAAAAAUAGGGUAACUUUGCACUGUGACUUAUGUAAUUUGGAAUUUAGUUCUCAGAUUCCAUUAGACAUGCAUCUUAAAGGUGCUAAGCAUGCCAAAAAACUUCGAUCCAUGGAAAUUUUAAAUGUUCUUGAACAAGAUGGUAAAGUUGUUCAGCCCAAAGGUGUUAGCAAUUCUCUUCGAUGUGAAAUUUGUGAUGUUAUUGGAAAUAGUUCACAACAAUUGCAGAUGCAUCUAACUGUGUAAAAGACAAAGAUAUUAUCUACCCUAGUAUAGCCAGGAUGAAGACCUGCUUAAUUUCCAUGGAACAAGCACAAAUCUAAAUGUCGUUCUCUUGGUAUAGAUCCCAGUUGUUUUCAGAAACCACCACCACCCCCUCCACAACCAGUACAAAAUGUUGAAGAAGAAAAAAGUCUGAAAAGAACA
rnacentral:misc_RNA from 1 species